GUCGUAACAAGGUUUCCGUAGGUGAACCUGCGGAAGGAUCAUUACCACACCUGUGUGAGUUGCCGUAACAAGCGACUUGCACGUUAAAUCUCAUAACAAUUAGUGGAAGUUGAGUUGCUGAAUGGUAGCUUAACGGAAGCUUCUUGUGUUCCGUGAAACUGUCUUGGUAUUCCUUAAUCGGAAGCCGUUCGACUUAUUUCCUAUGAACCAUUUCGAUCGCAAGAUUGGAAUUGUUUAUAAAACAACAUUGUUGAUGUAGAACCUUACAAACAUUCAGAUAAGCUAACCACUUAUCGGUGAUAAAAGUCUUAAUGACAUAAUCACUUUCAGCAACGGAUGUCUAGGCUCCCAUAACGAUGAAGAACGCAGC
rnacentral:misc_RNA from 1 species